rnacentral:rRNA from 1 species
UACGUAGGGUGCAAGCGUUGUCCGGAAUUAUUGGGCGUAAAGAGCUCGUAGGCGGUCUGUCGCGUCGAAUGUGAAAAUCCGGGGCUCAACCCCCGGACCUGCAUUCGAUACGGGCAGACUAGAGUUCGGUAGGGGAGUCUGGAAUUCCUGGUGUAGCGGUGAAAUGCGCAGAUAUCAGGAGGAACACCGGUGGCGAAGGCGGGACUCUGGGCCGAUACUGACGCUGAGGAGCGAAAGCGUGGGGAGCAAACAGG